UCGCAUCCACCAGGUGCAGGAUGUGAGCCACUGGCAAGGAGGGACGCCAAUAAGGCAUCUGAUAAGAUAAGUCUUAUAAAAUAUAUAGAUUUAUGAUAAUAAAGACUGAGCUGACAGAUGAUAAUCCUAGUCAUUGACCAAGCAGCUUUGAACCUAAUAUAAGUCUCUCUGUGCAUUAAUUUAGGCCCUAACUCUGGUGGGCGGCUGGUGUAAAGCACACACGUGGUGUUGGGGCUCGGCGGCUUUUGGCGGAAAGAUUUAUCAUAACAACUCCUCAUGGCCAAAACAAAAGAUACUGGCUAAAAGCCCAAGCAUGCUUUUCUGGUCUAGACGUGCUUUCCUUCCAUUGUAUUCCGAUUUUUC
rnacentral:lncRNA from 1 species